UACGUAGGUGGCGAGCGUUGUCCGGAUUUACUGGGCGUAAAGAGCGCGCAGGCGGUCGUAUAAGUCGAAUGUGAAAGCCCCUGGCUCAACUAGGGAGAGUCAUUCGAUACUGUUCGACUCGAAGGCAGGAGAGGGAAGUGGAAUUCCGGGUGUAGUGGUGAAAUGCGUAGAUAUUGGGAGGAACACCAGUGGCGAAGGCGGCUCACUGGACCGGAACUGACGCUGAGGCGCGAAAGCUAGGGGAGCAAACAGG
rnacentral:rRNA from 1 species